CGACAUGCUUCCCAGAAAGCAGCCUCUAGACUCGUGCUCUGAAAAAUCUCCCCUGGGAGCUGCUCCCUGAGGUGUCCCCAGCAGAGGUGUCACUCUGAAGUGCCUUGUCAUCCCCCGAAGCUGUUGUCUUACCCAUGGCCAGUCCUCGCAAUAGCCCCCGGCUGGAUAAGCCCAGCAGCUUCCCCAAAGCCUCUUUCCCACAAGUGCCGGCAAAAUCCUCUGUGGAAUUAUCAGGGAUCCCACCAGCUUUGAAGGGCUGGCAGUUAUCUUUAUGGUUUCUGCGGGGCUGAGCCUGCAUUUAAGAAAGGUCGUGACCUGCUCUUGCAGUCUCCUGGAGGAGAGAAGAAGGAAAGGAAAUGGCCAGGAAUUACAGAAAGACAGAUUUCAAAUCGCCUCACCGUGACGGUCGUCAGCCUCCAGCCUGGAGAUCAUUCCACCGAAGCUGAGCUCCGGUCUGCACUGGGUUUCUGAGGACCACCUUGGUGCAUUCGACGUAAUGUCUGCCCAGCAUCGGGAACCAGGGUCUUUGCUGGGCCCUCGCAGCCUGCUCUUCAGUCCCCUGGACCAUGGCACCCCGCUGCUGCCGUGGACACCGAGGACACUGUCCAGGAGAAAGCGCGGAGGCGGAGGCCCCUGACGGAGGCUCGCGGAACUCCCACAAAGGUAGGGGAAGAACAGACCAAAAUUAUCUGGACUCUAAACUUAUUAGCACAAGUAACAUUCAGGAUUAGUAUCAGUGAGUUCAUCUUUAUUUUCCUGAUCCCAGCUAGAAAACUCUGUUCUGGCCAAUAGAGACUUAAAACCAUCAAAAAUAUGUAUAUUUAAAUAAAUAAUGGAGGUAAAAUUCCCCAAGAUUAGAAAAAGAUAAAAAAUUCAGAUUGAAAGAAGACAGAUGAAGGGUGGAGGUUAUGCCUAGAUCUACUACAGUGAGAUUCAAGGAGAAAAUUCUAGCACCUCUAAGGGGAAAGUCCAGAUCACUAGGAAGAAAUGAGGAUCAGAUGAAAUUUGAUUCUAGUGCAGCAAAUCUUGAAAGGACAAAGCCAGCCC